rnacentral:lncRNA from 1 species
CGUGCCGGCCUUAGAUGCACAGGGCCUAUUUGCGUAGGCCUACUGUGCGGACAGUGCUCACACAAUGUGAGGCGCCUGUCCACGCGCGAGGUGACGCGUGGACGACCUACCUGUGUUCGACAAGACGCACGCUGGACCCGGCCUCGCGUUGUGUGCGCAGAUGGGAUGUGCACGCUAUGCCCACGUCCCGUGGGUGUGC